AAGGGACUUGCUUCCCUUGUGAUGCUUACAUCGUGGGAGAUUUGGAGUGAGAGAAAUGCCCGGGUUUUUAGAAAUUGUUCAUCCAUGCGGGACACCAUCUUUGGUAAGAUCAAAAGAGAGGUUGUUUUGGCAGAAAAGGUAGGGGCCAAACGCUUAUGAUCUUUGAUGCCACCAGAGUAG
rnacentral:rRNA from 1 species